rnacentral:rRNA from 1 species
UACGUAGGGUGCAAGCGUUGUCCGGAAUUAUUGGGCGUAAAGAGCUCGUAGGCGGUCUGUCACGUCGGACGUGAAAAUCCAGGGCUCAACCCUGGACCUGCGUUCGAUACGGGCAGACUAGAGUUCGGUAGGGGAGACUGGAAUUUACGGUGUAGCGGUGAAAUGCGUAGAUAUCGUAAGGAAGACCAGUGGCGAAGGCGGGUCUCUGGACAGUUCCUGACGCUGAGGCACGAAGGCCAGGGGAGCAAACGGG